CAGACACCACCUGCCCAUAUUAGAACUCAAGUGCAACCGGAACUUCAUACGCUACCGGCGCAUCUUAGCGUACUCCACCAGUGCUGCUCUUAACUGUUCCGGUGACGAUGAUCGAUCAAAACCAUAAACCCUAAAUCAAUUUUCCCGUCGAUCUAUUUAUUGGUAUUCUACUGCUCUUCCCCAUUAUCUUGAUAUUCUUCCAUCCAUUAAAAAGAAGAAGGAAAAUUCAAGAACUCGAUAUUGCAUGUUGAUUUUUUAAGAAAAGUUCAAGAAGGAAAAUUCAAGAACUCGAUAUGGCAUGUUGAAUUUUUAAGAAAGUUUCAAGAACUCCACCGGAUUGCUGCUAUUAAUUAUCCCAUUGACGAUGUCCGAUCAAAACCCUAAAUCAAUUUUACCGCCGUUCUAUCUGCUCAAGGAAAUGGGGAGCAUUAAGUGAAUACCUGAGGCUAUUUGGAGUUCAAUUCGAUUAGGGGUUAUCUUGUUGUUGAGGAGUUGGUUUCCAACAGCCUUGAAGCUGGUGCCACCAAGUUUUAAUCAUUUAGACUAAUUGCACCUGCAAAUUUGUGUGUUGCUUGCACAGAAGGCAGAGACCGGCUUGCUUUACACCAGUGACAUCAAAAUACAGCCGUUCAGAUGAUAUGUAUGCUUUCCCAGCAAGCUUUUGCUUUAAACGAGAGGCUCUGAGCUCUAUUUGUGAGGUUUCUUUGUUGGAUAUUGUUACCAAAACUCAUGGGAGGCCAAAUGGAUAUCCAAGUGUUUGUACCUUGGAAUUGAUGAUUGUAGACAAAAUGUUGGUACAACAGUCAUUGUUCAUGACGUAUUUUACAACCAACCAGAUCGAAGGAAGCAAAUGCACUCCAAGUACUUCUAGUUUUCUCAAAAUCAAACAAUCCAAAGAGAGUUUUCAUUCUCUAAAAGAGUCUUUUCUAAGAAUCGGCCUUGCGCAUCCCAGUGUCUCCUUCAAAAUUGUUUAUAUCGAAAGUGAGGAUGACCUGCUUUGCACACGUGUUUCUCCUUCUCCUUGCCUUUGUUGUCCAGUGGGUUUGGGAUGCGUCUGAGUUCCUUUAACAAAUUGAAUGCAAGCGUUGGUGCAUUCAAGCUUUUAGGAUACAUCUCAGGUCCUGAUGUUUACACAGUGAAGGAUUGGCACCCCGUCCUUCUCUUUUUUGAGGAUAUUGUCGCGAACCUCAGAACUGGAAGUGACUCUGUCGAGAGGAUAUGGCCAGUGUAGGGGGACUUGAUCCUCCAUGGGAUGUUUAUGGUUCAGGUCCUUCUGAUUUCUACUAUGAUGGAGAUGAUUUGACACAUGCAUUCUCAUGGUGAAGAGAGUCUUAAGAACUAUUUGAUACCACGAACUAUGCCCUCCUCUAGGGUGGAUGGAAACUCACAUAAAAGGAUUGAUACUGGAAAUCGAGGUAAAACAGAAGAGCUUAUAAGGAAGAAGAUGAGUAAAAGAAGUCACUGCUCCUCCAUUUUACCGAGGCAAGAAGAAGUUCUUUGCCACGAGUGAGUCUACAAGAAAGGCAACAGUAAAUAAGAAUAUUAAGACAGUUCAUGAUGUGCCACUCUUGCCAGAAACUAGAGCUGCAAGGAGACUGCUUCAUUCUGCAGAAGCUAUCUGCUUGGAACUUCCACAUCAGUCAUACCAUCACUGCGAUCAAUCUUUAAUCCCAAGUUGUGGUGAUGGUGUAUUCUCUGAUGAAACGCCAAGUGUGAAAAUGAAGCUUGAUAACAUCUGGAAUAACAAAUUACAAGCUCAAGGGGAGUGCACGAGUACACGUGAUGGGGAGUCAAAAGAAGAGUACUAUAUAAACAAACGUUCUGGGAAAUGGAUAAAGCAAAAGCUCAGAAGGGAAAGAAUGAGAGGCUACAGGGAUCUGAGGGUUUUUGUUCCAAGGGUGGUUGCUUCUCACUGAAUUAACCAAUGAUUUCUCCAUUACUGUCUCCUAUUUUGUACCUGAUUUGUUGCACUUGAGCCGAGGGUCUUUCAGAAACAACCUCUCUGCCUCCACAAGCUAGUGGUAAGGUCUGCGUACAUUCUACUCUCCCCAGACCUCACUUGUGCGAUUUCAGUGGGUAUGUUGUUGUGUUGUUGUACUUCAUCACCUGAAGUUGUACUUUCUUUUGAAUGAUCUGGUGUCUCACGAGAUGGACUGAUGCUGGGAGAAA